AACGAACGCUGGCGGCAUGCCUAACACAUGCAAGUCGAACGAUGGUCUUCGGAUCAUAGUGGCGCACGGGUGCGUAACGCGUGGGAAUCUGCCCUUGGGUUCGGAAUAACAGUUGGAAACGACUGCUAAUACCGGAUGAUGUCGAUAAGACCAAAGAUUUAUCGCCCGAGGAUGAGCCCGCGUCGGAUUAGCUAGUUGGUGGGGUAAAGGCCUACCAAGGCGACGAUCCGUAGCUGGUCUGAGAGGAUGAUCAGCCACACUGGGACUGAGACACGGCCCAGACUCCUACGGGAGGCAGCAGUGGGGAAUAUUGGACAAUGGGCGCAAGCCUGAUCCAGCAAUGCCGCGUGAGUGAUGAAGGCCUUAGGGUUGUAAAGCUCUUUUACCCGGGAAGAUAAUGACUGUACCGGGAGAAUAAGCCCCGGCUAACUCC
rnacentral:rRNA from 1 species